UAGGGAAUCUUCGGCAAUGGGGGGAACCCUGACCGAGCAACGCCGCGUGAGUGAAGAAGGUUUUCGGAUCGUAAAGCUCUGUUGUUAAGGAAGAACGAGUGUGAGAAUGGAAAGUUCAUGCUGUGACGGUACUUAACCAGAAAGGGACGGCUAACUACGUGCCAGCAGCCGCGGUAAUACGUAGGUCCCGAGCGUUGUCCGGAUUUAUUGGGCGUAAAGCGAGCGCAGGCGGUUAGAUAAGUCUGAAGUUAAAGGCAGUGGCUCAACCAUUGUAGGCUUUGGAAACUGGUUAACUUGAGUGCAGAAGGGGAGAGUGGAAUUCCAUGUGUAGCGGUGAAAUGCGUAGGUAUAUGGAGGAACACCGGUGGCGAAAGCGACUCUCUGGUCUGUAACUGACGCUGAAGCUCGAAAGCGUGGGGAGCGAACAGG
rnacentral:rRNA from 1 species